AUGAUUUGCUGUCCAGGCAGCUCCCUCUCCUGCAGACAGAAUGCUCAGGGUCAUUGAACCACUGCUUCUCUUUAGAGAGCAGAGCUAGCUGCCACUUUCCUGUGGCCUCCAGAGUGUCUCUACCUAAACCUCUGUGCUCCCCUGCCACACUGAUGGCUCAAGACAAGGCUGGCAACCCCCUGCCCAGCAACACCCUUGAUUCAGACAGGCUCUCUCACGAGGCACAGCCAAGCCAAACAUUCAUGUUGUGCCAGUGAGCUAGCCAUGGAGCAGAAGAGGGUUUGUUUUCAGCCCCUCCGUCUGGGUCAGAACCAGAGAGCAUGUUGAAGGCUCCCUGCUUGCUUAGUCAGGCUUCCCCACCUGAGUCAGUGCUCCCAGGUGACUGCAAUGCUUGUAGAAGUAGGAAACCUAGUCCUCACUGGGAUGUACAAGAAGAAGGGCAAGUUCCCAAGUGCCUCACUUCGAAAGGAGGCCCUGUUCCCUGGAGUCCGGAUAUACUGCAAAGCUUUGACUGGGAUGGGAUCUGAGAUGCCAUGAACUUUGCUGAAUAGUCACUGUUCAGCAAACUAACCAGCAUUCCCUACAACAUAGCCCAGGGCAGACAAUGGUAUAGAAGUCCAGAAAAAAACAGAACACCAUUUUAAGAAACUUGGACUAGUCUUGUACCUCAGUCUGGGUUUGCUGUAAUGAGACUGGAAGUGUACAAUACUAGAUGCUCUGUUGAGCCCCAGUGGUGGAAGGGAGGAGGGCCUUUCCUGUGUUAAUGGAAUAGAGGCUACAGAGGUUAGACUGGACUAAAGGCAUCCUUGUCUUUUUGAGCUGUUCAUCUCAGUAGGAAAAAAAAUCUAAUGGGAGAUCACUAGUUUAGAUCUGCUGACCUGUGUCCCUACCCCUUGGAAAUGUCUGUUGGGUACUUUUAAUUCCACAGGUCAUCAGAUGCCUGCUUGAUAAUAUAUGAACAAUAAAAACAACUUUCACUUC